rnacentral:rRNA from 1 species
UACGGAGGGGGCUAGCGUUGUUCGGAAUUACUGGGCGUAAAGCGCACGUAGGCGGAUCUGCAAGUCAGGGGUGAAAUCCCGGGGCUCAACCCCGGAACUGCCUUUGAGACUGCCGGUCUGGAGGUCGAGAGAGGUGGGUGGAAUUCCGAGUGUAGAGGUGAAAUUCGUAGAUAUUCGGAGGAACACCAGUGGCGAAGGCGGCCCACUGGCUCGAACCUGACGCUGAGGUGCGAAAGCGUGGGGAGCAAACAGG